rnacentral:rRNA from 1 species
AGUGAACGCUGGCGGCGUGCUUAACACAUGCAAGUCGAACGAGAACGGGAUAUAGCUUGCUAUAUUUGUCAGCUAAGUGGCGCACGGGUGAGUAAUGAAUAGAUAACCUGCCCUCUAGAAAGGAAUAACAGUUGGAAACGACUGCUAAUGCCCUAUAUGCCUUUAAUACAUAAGUAUGCAAGGGAAACGCUUUAGUGCUAGAGGAUGGGUCUGUAUGGUAUCAGCUUGUUGGUGAGGUAAUGGCUCACCAAGGAUAUGACGCCUAACUGGUUUGGGAGGAUGAUCAGUCACACUGGAACUGAGACACGGUCCAAACUCCUACGGGAGGCAGCAGUGGGGAAUAUUGCACAAUGGACGAAAGUCUGAUGCAGCAACGCCGCGUGGAGGAUGACACAUUUCGGUGCGUAAACUCCUUUUAUAUAGGAAGAUAAUGACGGUACUAUAUGAAUAAGCACCGGCUAACUCCGUGCCAGCCGCCGCGGUAA